rnacentral:rRNA from 1 species
GGUUUUUGGAAUUUAAUUGAAGAUUUGUUCUGCUCAAUGAUUUUUAAAUAGCUGCAGUAAAUUGACUGUGCAAAGGUAGCAUAAUAAAUAGUUUUUUAAUUGGUAACUUGGAUGAAUGAAUUGAUGGGGAUAAUCUGUCUUUAUUUUAAUUUAAUUUGAAUUUAACAUAUAAGUGAAAAGGCUUAUUAAAAUAUAAGGGACGAUAAGACCCUAUAGAACUUUAUUGGUUUAAAUUUUAAUUAUUUAUAAUUUUUGAAUCAUUUUGGUUGGGGUGACUAGGAUAAAAAAUUAACUUUCUUUUAAUUUACACUGAUGAGUGGUUGAGUAUGAUUGUUUAUUUAAAUAUGAAAGAAAAGUUACCUUAGGGGUAACAGCAUAAUUAUUUUGGAGAGUUCUUAUCAAUAAAUUAGUUUGUGACCUCGAUGUUGAAUUAAGAUGGGAUUUGGGUGAAGGAGUUUAAUGAACGGGUCUGUUCGACCUUUAAAUUCUUACA